AUUGAACGCUGGCGGCAUGCCUUACACAUGCAAAUCGAACGGUAACGGGCCUUCGGGUGCCGACGAGUGGCGAACGGGUGAGUAAUACAUCGGAACGUGCCCGAUCGUGGGGGAUAACGAGGCGAAAGCUUUGCUAAUACCGCAUACGAUCUACGGAUGAAAGCAGGGGACCGCAAGGCCUUGCGCGGACGGAGCGGCCGAUGGCAGAUUAGGUAGUUGGUGGGAUAAAAGCUUACCAAGCCGACGAUCUGUAGCCGGUCUGAGAGGAUGAUCAGCCACACUGGGACUGAGACACGGCCCAGACUCCUACGGGAGGCAGCAGUGGGGAAUUUUGGACAAUGGGCGCAAGCCUGAUCCAGCCAUGCCGCGUGCAGGAUGAAGGCCUUCGGGUUGUAAACUGAUUUUGUACGGAACGAAAAGCCUUCUUUUAAUACAGGAGGGUCAUGACGGUACCGUAAGAAUAAGCACCGGCUAACUACGUG
rnacentral:rRNA from 1 species